CCUGGUGGCAGCAGUGGGGGAUAUUGCACAAUGGGGGAAACCCUGAUGCAGCGACGCCGCGUGUGGGAAGACGGUCCUCUGGAUUGUAAACCACUGUCCCCAGGGACGAAGAUGACGGUACCUGGGGAGGAAGCUCCGGCUAACUACGUGCCAGCAGCCGCGGUAAUACGUAGGGAGCGAGCGUUGUCCGGAAUUACUGGGUGUAAAGGGAGCGUAGGCGGGACUGCAAGUUGGGUGUCAAAUCUACCGGCUCAACCGGUAGCCGCACUCAAAACUGCAGUUCUAGAGUGCAGGAGGGGCAGGCGGAAUUCCUGGUGUAGCGGUGAAAUGCGUAGAUAUUAGGAAGAACACCAGUGGCGAAGGCGGCUUUCUGGACUGAAACUGACGCUGAGGCACGAAAGCGUGGGGAGCGAACAGGAUUAGAUACCCCAGUAGUC
rnacentral:rRNA from 1 species